AAGGUUUUAGCUUAAUAAAAGUAUCUGGGUUGCAUUCAGGGGAUGUAAGAUAAAGUCUUACAAGUCUUA
rnacentral:tRNA from 1 species